UUGGCAGUGAUGAUUGGCGCAGGGGUACGGACCUCAGCUGGAUAAUGGGAGCUGAGUGUAAAUGCUCCUUCUCUUCAGUCUGCAUGUGGCCGGCUGGCUGGGAGGCAUUUGCACGAGAAAACCGCCAAGGUCUGAGCCAU